AUAAUACUCCCUCCGUCCAAUAAAGGAUGUCUCAAUUUUGAUCAAAUUUGAAUGCAUCUAUACACUAAAUCAUGUCUAGAUACAUCUAAAUUUUAAUAAAUUUGAGACAUUUUUUGUUAAAUGGAGUGAGUAUGAA
rfam:Brachypodium distachyon strain Bd21 chromosome 3, whole genome shotgun sequence.